GCCUACUGGCAGCCCACAAAGCAGUGGCCCAGCGUGCGAGGCGGAUCCGGUUCGCCCUGGUCUUUUCUUCCGCCGCACCAGUUCUUCUGCACGCGCGCACCACCCCUCGCCGGCGGCUCCUCCUCCUCCUCCGCCGCCGCCGCCGCAGCGUCGCAGGAGCUCGCCUCGUCGGUGACCAUGUACCGCGCAGCGGGGAGCCACCUCCGCUCCCUCAAGACCGCAGCUUGAUCGCCACCUGGGUACCAUCCUCCAAGAAGCCAUCGUAGACGUACCCGAAGCCGCCCCGGCCGAGCACUCGCUGGAAGUUGUUCGUGAUGACCUCUAAUUCCCCGUACGUGAACCGACGGUUCUCAAGUUGCAGCGAGCUCUGCACAUGGCUCGUCAUCUCAUUGAGGCUUCACAGAGUUGCUGUUUGAUCCUAAUUAGAACAUAAAACAAGCAUCAGUUUUUUGUUCAGGUUGGGGAAAAUUUGCUGGAGCAGACAGUU